rnacentral:lncRNA from 1 species
UUUAUUUAUUUAUUACACAUAUAUUACUGUUUGGGGAACCUUAGUGUUCCCAUACCAACAUGGUACAGGUAAAUUAUGUUAGGUGAAAAAGUUAUGGAUGGUAUUUUUAUGGGUUGUUUGGUUUGCUCGUUUCUUCUUUAUUUUGUUUCUGUUCCUGAACACCAUCUGAUCUGAUCCAUGUAGAUGAAAAUAAAAACAGAAGAGGUCUGUCUCAACUUAUUAUGUGCUUACAAAGUGCUAUAGCCCUAUGAAGUCAAAGUUCUUUUCAAGCUUUGGGGACAUUUUUUGCUUGCAUAUAUUUACAAUAUAUGGACAAAAUACUGCAGUUUGUCUCAGUUUUAAGAAGAAAAGAUAUAAGGACUCUCCCAGAAGAGGGAGAGAAUGUCUACGAAAAUGAAUAAAAUAAUAUGUAAAGCAAAGAACAACUUUGAGUAGACAAUAGUAUUUUGCAAAUCAGAUAUGUUUAUAGAAAUCAAAUUGGAAUCUCUGAGUGGUAGGAAAAGCAGCGUAAACCUGUAUGGAAAAAUAUUUCAGCAGUGAGUGCUUUAAGGGAAAGACCCUUAGCAAGGUUCUUGCAAGUGCAAUAGCUGCAAUUACAGAAAUUAUGUGAAAACUUUGCAAUUGAGGCUCUAUAAAUAUUAACAAAAUGGAUACUCUAGAAACAUAUCUAAUACACCUCAACCUUUUUUUUUUUUUUUUCGGUGAAGCUUUCAGCAAGAGCCUGUUCUUCAGUUCUCUUUAUAUCCUAUAUUUUUCUCAGUCUUCGUGUGGCUCAGAAGGACUUGACCUGAAGAUAGAUGAUCCAGAUCUUAGCAGAACCUGUUUUCUCAGCAUAAUUGUUGAUUGCCCCAGGUAACACUUUGCUAUGUUACAACUUUUUCUUUCCUAUUUGGAAACCAAAUAUGAUCGGUAAUGACAUAUGUUUUUCUCCUAAGUAAUCAAAUGUGUUAAGGAAAUUGGUGAGUAUCUCUCUCUGUUGUCUCUCUCCUCUCUCUGUUGUCUCUCUCCUAAGCAUUUCCUAUGAUGAUUAUUUUUAGCAGAGCUGUAUCCAUUGGCUGGUAUAAAAACGGAAUGUGGGCAAAAUUAAAUUAUCUUAAUCUUCCUUAUCUGUUUUUAUGGGCAACAACAAAUGCAUUUGCUAUAUGCUUCUCUUCUUACUGAGAGGAAGGAAAGAAUGAGAGCAAGCAGACACAAAGAUGUUUUUCAGUCUGAGUGAUGGACUUUAUUUGCUGCUGUGAGGUAUGGCACAGUUGCUUUAUCCCUGUGGCUUCUAUAUACCUCUCUGACCAAUUUGCAGGUGCUCCUAAUUGCUGUUUGGAAAGGUAAGUAGUAAUUUGGUUUCAGA